GGGGAGGUAGCUCAGUUGGGAGAGCGCAGCGUUCGCAAUGCUGAGGUCGGGGGUUCGACUCCCCUCCGCUCCA
rnacentral:tRNA from 1 species